rnacentral:misc_RNA from 1 species
UGGUCAAUACGGUGUGUGGGACGGUCCGGGAUGACGUGAGUUAACACUACACUACACCUCUCAAGGCUCUUCACGUAAAGUGUCCUAAGUGCAAGAACGAAUGCAAAUAUCGUCAAGACCAGCAUAUGUGUCAUUGUGGUAACGCCAACGACGGACAAGAACCAGGCCAAUAAGAUGGCUGAUCCAUGGGUGGUAACACCUGGUGAACGAACAAAACAUGAGGAACAGUUUAAUACUAUACGGCCCACAGGUGGGUUCAUCACUGGUGACCAGGCAAAGGGAUUUUUCCUCCAAUCUCGUUUGCCUCCGCCAGUAUUGGGCAUCAUCUGGGCCUUGUCUGAUGUUGAUGGUGAUGGGAAGAUGAAUCUCCAUGAGUUCAGCAUUGCCUGUAAACUUAUCAACUUAAAACUACGUGGGUUUAGUCUCCCACAAUCACUACCUGCAACUCUGAAGCAAUCUGCCUGUGGAGCCAAUGUAAUGGCAGCAGCUCCUGCCCCAGUAGUGGGCACUUCUACGGGAUAUGGGACGCCUGGCACUGUUGGGGUGGGAAUAGCAGGUCUUGUGGGUCUUGAUAAUGGCCUUUCAGUCACCCCUGCCAGGGCUCCUGGUCCAGUUAUGUCACCUGUGGUUAUUUCGGCCUCUGUACCUCCUGCUGCUGCCCCUGUUUCAGCCUCUUUUCCUGUUGCUGCAGUCUCAGCCCCAGCUGUUUUGGCACCUCUAUCAAUGGCUGCAACACCACCUGUGGCUGCAAUACCACCUAUGGCUGCAGCUUCAAGUAGCAUAUCUAAUUCUAUGUCAGGAACAGCACCUGGGAUCAUUCCUGGUACAACUAUAAGGUAUACUGCAGUUACUUCACUAGGCAAUAUACCUGGUGUAGUACCUGGAGCCAUGCCUGGGCAUGUGGUAGGAAGUAUGUCUUGUGCAUUCUCUGGAACAGCAGCAGGGGCUGGGCAAGGCUCAGUGGUGGCAACUAUGCCUUCAACUGUCCCUCCAGCUCAUGAUCCUGCGACUGUUGCUGUAGAUGCUUAUGUUAGCCCUGUGGGUGCUGUACCCACUGCACCACUUGUGGGAAGUAUGAUGGCUGGAGGUGCCCCAAUGAGACCUGUGCAGUCAAUGGUGACAGGUGGUGUGCCAUUGGCAGGAAUGGCCCCUCAGAUGGUCCCGGCACAGCCCUUAGUACCUAUGGCUCCAACAUCUGUGCCUGCAACAUAUGUCCCUCCAAUAUCUAUGGCUCCAACACCAGUGGCAGCAGCACCUUUAGUUUCAGCACCCAUGGUGCAAACCAUUUCCUCAGUAUCACAACCAGUACAUCCUGUACUGCCAAUACAGACAGUGCACCCAGUACAGCCAGUGCACCCAGUACAGCCAGUGCACCCAGCACAGCCAGUGCAGCUGGGGGGCAUGAUUCCUCCUAUGAGCAAUGAAGUAGCUCCAGUACCAGCAGGAAAUGUUCCACUUGCAGCAUCAGUAGCACCAGGAACUUCGGCAGCUCCUACUGGGGCUGCAGUGCAACGAACAGGCAGCCAAGAUUCAGGUGGUUCCCAAACACCUGUUGAGUGGGCUGUACCUCAGGCAAGCAAACUCAGGUUUACGCAGGUGUUUAAUAUGUCAGACAGAGCCAAGACUGGAUACUUGUCUGGAGUACAGGCAAGAAAUAUUCUUAUUCAGUCUCAUCUGCCUCAGCAGAUACUAGCACAAAUAUGGGCACUGGCUGAUGUGGAUAAUGAUGGUCGUUUGUCAAGUGAAGAAUUUGUGUUAGCUAUGUACCUGUGUGAGACAGCUAAAGCAGGAAACAAGCUACCUGCCAUACUGCCAGCAGAGUUGAUACCCCCUACCAAUCGCCGCCAACGAACUUCAAGUGUUCAUUCCACCAGCUCAGCCGGCACUCCAGUUACUGAUGUCUUAGGUAUCAAUGAUAACACAUUUGAGGACAAAAGACGAGAGAACUUUGAGAAAGGACAAGCUGAAUUAGAAAGAAGACGUAAAGCCCUUCUUGAUGCCCAAAGACGGGAAACUGAGGAAAGGCUUCGCAGAGAACGUGAGGAGGAAGCAAAAAGAGAAAAGGCCCGACAAGAAGCAGAGAGACGACGGCAGGAAGAAUUAGAACGAGAGAUGCACCGGCAACGUGAAAUGGAGGCACAAAGAGAACAGGAGAGAAAACGACAAGAAGAGUUGAGGGAACAAGCCCGCAAAGAUGCUGAGCUCCAGAGACAACAGGAAUGGGAGAAACAGAGAUUGCAGGAAUUGAUGAAUGUAAGACAGAGGCAACAAGAAAACCUCCUGUCUCUUAAAGCUAAAAAUCAGAGUUUGUCCAUAGAACUUACAACUAAGGAGGACCGAGUAAAAGAACUAACUCAAAAAAUCAGUGAGACCCGUCAGGGAGUGACUGAAGUAAAAGCAACAAUUGAUACAAUGCGAUCUACUCGAGAUACAUACAUGUCGGAUAUGAAUCAACUUAAGGCAGCAGCACGAGACCAGAAUCAAAGGCUAUUAGCUCUUAAUCAAGAAAAAGCUCGGUUGAAGGCACGUAACACAGCAGCUGCUGGAGCUAGUGGGGCUGAACAGGCAGCAGUUGAUGCUUCACUUACUAGCAAGCAGAUGGUUAUUAGGCAGCUGCAGGAAAAGGUUGAAGAACUUCAAAAAGAGUUGUCAUCAAAAGAAGAAGAUGUGAACAAUAAUGUUACUGACCUUUCUUUAAUGAAAGAUGACAUGCAUGUAACAGCAGAAAAGUGUGCACAGAUCUUCAUUGAGUAUUCUGCUAAACGUAAAGAGGUGCUGAGUCUGCGAGAGAAGCUGGUUAAUCCGGAUGCUGCGUGGGGUGAUGCUGCCAGCUCAACUUGGGCAGGUAAAGGGAUUGGUGGUGGUGGGGCUAGUGCCUGGAAUAGUGCAUGGCCCCCAAGUCAGCCCAAAGAUGCAUGGCCCAGUAGCGGAGCUGAUGGUAGUGGCGCCCCCACCAGUAGUCUACAGCCUCUACAGGAACAGCAGGAACACUCGGCAGAACAACAUCAACCUCCAGUACGCCCCCCGCCCCCUUCCACAACCACCACCACCACUGCCAUCAUGCCCUCUGUGGCCGCCACUGGCACUGUAAAUGAGAAGCCGGCAGUACCCCCAGCCCCCCGGGAAGUUGAGGGCUUCAACACCACCAACUCCACUACCAUCACCAACAGUACCAGUGCUGUGGGCUGGGGGGUCCACAAUACCACACCCCCCUCUUCCUCCACCACCACCAUAGCCCCUUGGGGGAUGUUCUCCACCACUACCACCACCACCCCAUCUACCACUUCCACCACACACCCAGAUGAGCCUGAAAAUAAGGAGCCAGUAGUAGCUAAAGAAAACGCAGAGGGUGUUGUACGUCGCCGUGUGCUGUAUCAGUUUGAUGCUCGUAACCAUGACGAAAUUAGCAUUAUGCCAGGAGAUAUUGUUGUUGUAACAUUGCACGAAGGAGUGGAACCAGGUUGGCUUGGAGGCGAGCUUCGUGGCCAGACUGGGUGGUUCCCUAAAGAUUACACUGAACUUAUUGAUGAGAAAGAAGAGGCAGAAGCUGCAACGGAUUCUAUUGUCCGUACACAGUUAGAGAAUAUCCCAGAAGAAGCUGUAACUGCUGUGGUCGGACAACAAAAGGUGAUAGGUGAUGCUGUAGGAGUGUUCCCAUGGAGAGCGAAGCAGAGAAACCACUUGUCAUUCAAUAAGGGUGAUCGUAUUACAGUUAGAGAAAAACAGGAUCAAUGGUGGUAUGGCGAGUUGAAUAAUGUUGGGGGUUGGUUCCCCCGAUCAUUUGUGCGAAUGGUGUCGGGUCCUGCUGCUGUCACAUCUCCAGCGACAACCCCACAGGAGGCCCCUGAGGAACCUCCAAUGCCUGACAACCUAGUCCAUGAUGAAGUGUCAGAGUUUUAUCAGGCUUUAUACCCAUACCAGUCAGGAGAACCAGGAGAUCUGACGUUUAAUGCUGGAGAAGUUAUCUUAGUAGUGAAGAAGGAGGGAGACUGGUGGCACGGAGUAAUCAACCAGAACUGUGGUAUCUUCCCAUCCAAUUACGUUGAACUUCUUCCUAAUCAGUUUAUUACAAGUACUGGAGACAAUGUUGCGGAACAGAGCGUUGUGGUGGCUGCUUCGGAGGAGCAGGUGGCAGUAGGAGAAAAGCAGUCAGAGCCAGAGGAACAAGUGGUAGCCCCUGAAGAUUAUAAAGAGGAGCAGCAGAUAAAGCCAACAGCAAACUCUGCCACAGUACAGACCCCUGACUCUGCUAAUCUCAAAGUUAAUCAGGACGACGAACUUGAAAACAAGGAGGUGAUGGAGCUUGCUAAGUCACCGAAAUCACCGAAGGGAAGCAAAGGGAAGAAGCCAGAGAUAGCAACAGUACUUGCUCCGUAUGAUGCCACAAGUAGCAACCAACUCAAUCUACAACGGGGACAACUGGUGAUGAUCCGCAAGAAGACAGCCUCUGGUUGGUGGGAGGGAGAACUCCAGGCUAAAGGCAAGAAACGUCAAAUUGGAUGGUUCCCUGCCACCUACGUAAAAGUCUUGGGUGGAUCUUCUCGUUCCACUCCAGUCUCAAUGGAGUUGACUAAUCGAGAGGACGCUCCUCCAGAUGACAUCCAAACCCCACCAAACACAACUGCCUCUUUAACACAAGUCACUAUUACUCCACCCACUGAUGAACCCAUGAAAGGCCCAAAUGAUGCCUCAAAUGGAUUUGCAGAACAAGUAGAAGCACUGUACCCAUACACUGCAAUGAAUGAAGAUGAGCUCACAUUUGAAGCUGGUGCCAUAAUCUCUGUGAUAGACAAGGAAGAUGCAGCUUGGUGGAAAGGAACUGUUGAAGGUGCUAUUGGUGUCUUCCCCUCCAAUUACGUUCAGCCAUACGCUAGUGUUUUUGCUGUGACUCUUGCCGGGACUCCAGAUGGAGAAGACUCCUUGUGCUUCCCAGUCACCACAAAAGUCUCAAUAAUCCAGACAUCGGACAGCUCUGAGUCAUGGACUGACUUUAGUACCACCAACUUUGACCAUGGAAGGUCUGGGAGGUGGGAAGACAUGUCAUCUGUAUUCGGCACCGGAAGUGCCACAGUUAGUGGCUCAGAUGACAGAAGCCAACAAAGUGAAAGCUUUAACUACAGCAGAAGUAGAACAAGUUGCCACUUCUCACCAUCAUCUCCGAUGGAACAGAAGCGUCAAAAUGUAAUUCAGGAAAUAAUCGAUACAGAGGCUACAUAUCUCAAGGAACUAUUAUUAGUUGAACAGGCUUUUAUUAAACCCAUGCGUGGCUCUAGCAUCAUCAACGAGAAGGAAGUUGACCUGUUGUUUGUGAACUGGAAUGAAUUGAUUCUGGUUAACUCAUAUUUUAAUAAAGCUUUAAAAGUACGGUGUAUGAACAGCAGUAAUGGUGUUAUUACCAUGAUUGCAGAUGUUUUGUGUCAACAGAUAAGCCAGUUAACACCAUACUUGAGGUUCUGCAGUAUUCAGAUUCGAGGUGCAACUUUGUUAGGAGAAAAAUGUGGUUCUGGGGGACAAUGGGCAGACCUGGUGAAGCAGUGUCAGGAGCACCCUGCUGUCCAAGGUCUCACUCUUACUUCUUUUCUACUAAAGCCAAUGCAGAGAAUAACAAGAUAUCCACUAUUAAUCAAACAGUUAUUGAAAUACACUCCUGAAGGACACCCUGACUACUAUAACACACAGGAGGCAUUAACUGCCUCUGAAACUCUCUGUGCUCAAGUCAAUGAGGCAGUGAGUCAAAGGGAUAACACUGAUAAGUUGGAGUGGAUGCAGCGACAUGUAGUGUGUGAAGGCUUAAACGAACGCUUAGUGUUUAACUCUCUCACCAAUACUCUUGGCCCUAGGAAGCUUCUCCAUACUGGUGUGCUACAUAAGGCGAAGAGUAAACGUGAGCUAGUGGCAUUUCUUCUUAGUGACUUCCUCUUACUGACAACACCAAACAAAUCGGUAUCUUCAUGUACCACUCUAGCAGCGUUGGAACGAGCCCUCAUAUCAAACUCCUGCACAAUGUACCGAAAGCCUAUGUUCUUAACAGAGUUAAGAGUAGAAGCUGACAAGGAUUCAGAAACAUACUACACUCUAAUAAGUCCUGGUUGUGGUGAUGUCACAGUGUCAGCACCAACUACACACGAACGUAAUAAUUGGCUAAAAAAGAUCGCCAUAGCACAAAAGCACAUUAAUGAUACUGAAAGAUCUAUUCUUCAUCGACAGAAAUCCAUUUUGCCUAAUGCUGGACUGAUAGCAAAUGGUGAGCGUGUAUUUUAUAUUUAAAGCAAAGUGGAGAAUUUUAGGAUGAGCAUUACAGUGUGAAUUUUUAUUGUCCUCUAACUACCCUUGCAGGAGGAAAUUAAUUAGAAUCAUGAUACUUCUGCAUCAUGUCCUCAUCACAUUAUUAUUUCUGCAUGUCUUUUUCAGAACAAUUGUUAUGUCUUGAUUUGUUCUGCAUGAUUUAUACUAAUGAUUUAAUAUUGUGUGCAGGUGAACUAUAGAGGAUUGGUAAUUUUUCCCAUCUUUAGUUUAGGAAAAGAGAUGGUUUUAGAAUAAGUAAUUGCAUUAGCUUUGUUAUGAAGAAUGUAGUUGUUAAAUUUCUUAAAUAUUAUUAAUAUCAAAGUACUGUACUUGUUCCUAGUGCUCAAUCUCUUCCAUAACUGAAAACCUGGUAUAAUCAGUAUUGAAACUAACUCCAUUACUGUAUGACUUCUAGUUGACACAAUGUAAUAGAAGAAGAGGAAGGUGCACAACACAAUAACCAUGAAAGCAAUAGAAUAGAAUAAUUUUUAUGUCACAAGCUCUGUCAUGUCUUAUUCCUAAUAUUGCUGUAAAGUGCAAAUUUCUUAGCUACUCUUCGUGUUUGAAUAGUCUGAAACAGUCAUUUACAAAAGUAUUUGUCACACUGUUUAUGACUCUCAUGAAACAGAAAUGUUGGUGCCUAUAAGGUUCUUCAAGGUUGCUGCUUCUAGGGAAAGUAACCCUGCUCAUAUCUCCCUCAUCUAGCUAAGAUGAAUUUGCUUUGAAUCAAGUUAUAUGAGUUAUGGAAUUGAAUUAGGUACACAGUUAAAAGUUUUUAACUCAGUCAAACCCCCUCCAUACUUAUGGCCAUCCACACCAGUCAGUAGCUUCACAUAACUCUUGCUGCAAAUUGUUGUUAGCUCCUGUGUGGACAACUUCUGCAUGUCAACAACACUGAUGUAUUUUUGAGUCUCAGAUCAACCUGAAGAUAAGACUCCUGUGUAUUGUCCAUUUUAACUCAUUGAACCUUGUGUUGACAUGUUUCUGCUGAAUUGCCACAAAAGUUGACCACCCCUUGGGCAAGAAUCCUCAUGCACUAUGUAAUUAAGUUGAAUAUUUUACCAACAAUUGUAAUCAGAAUAAAAAUCUACUUCGAAGUAUCUUGGUGAUAAUGAAGUGAAAAGUAAUCAUUAUUGAGUGAAUAAUCUAGAGCUUGAGAGGCUGUGUCAUACCUGAAGUGUAAGUUGAGCUGCAUUUUGCCAGACACAGAAAACAAAAAAUUAACCAGCAUUAUUACUCCUUCACUAGUGCUCCAUCAGGCUUACUUAUCUAGUAGUUGACAUUUCGUCUUUGACUUGAGUUAUUAAAGAUUUAUAGUAUUUUCCAAAUCUGAUAUUCUUUUUAUGUUGUACAGUAUACAUAUUUUCAUGAACAGAUACAUCGUCGACAAACAAAAAAUGUUUUCUGUAAAAGGCAUUCAGAUAUGGAAGUGCAGUACAGUAUUCUCAUUCUAAAUAGAAAAAAAAUUAUUUAUAAAAACAGCCGAGUUGUGUGUGUGUAUAGACAUUUUAUUACAGUAGUGGCCAAAUGUUGUUAAUACUGUAGAUAGAUAUUCAAGCUUUUAAGAGAUACAGUCAGUCCUCGACUUACGACGGGGUUAGGGACCGACGACCAGGUCGUAAGUCGAAAAUGAGAAAAUAAUACAUAGAAAAUCUAAAACGGGUGUCUCUUAUUCUUCUCAGUACCACAAAACUCUCACUUUUAAGCAUGACAGCCAUUUUAAAUGGAAUUACAAACGAAAAAUUUGUCAGUACACAGCGCAAUCACUAACGUCGGGACUCGAAAAUACGUAAUUUGAAAAAUAUUUUAUACGACUGCGGCAGUCGUAUGACCGGGUGGUCGUAAAUCGAGUAGGUCGUAAGUCGAGGAGUACCUGUACUGUAUUUCUGUUUUAGCAGUUAAUCAUAUGUAUACAGGUACAGUACUUAUAUAAAACAUAACUCAAAGCCAUGUUGUAAGUAAGAUAGGUCCACAUAGUAACAUGAAUAUCUUCAAUUGGAUCCCAAACAACAACAACAAAAAUGACCCAAGAAAAAUACCAGCUACCAGCUGGAGAGAUAUAAUUUUGAUAUUUAAUUAUAUUCACUGUGGAGUCCUUCAUUUGGCAGUGAACUGAUAUAGAUAGAUAUCUUGAUCUUGGGGCUUUGAUGGAAGCAGUUAUACCCAAGUAAGUGAAGUCGACUUGAGCGAAGCCCUUUGUGAAGCAUUGAUCAUCUAACUUGAAAGAUUUACUGUAUAGUGUAUGAAGAGCUACAGCUUGGUUAAUUCGAGGUUAUGGAUACCUAUAGCUCAUAUUUUCUAGGAAGUUUCAGGAUUACACCAAAUAAAUGUAUGGUAUUGUACAGAAAAAUUUUGGGUUGCAUUUCUUCUCUUUCCUUGCACAGUGUGAGGUUUACAUCUGCCUAGUCCUUGGAUAAUUAAUAGUAUCACUACCUCCCACUUUCUAAUUGGCUGCUGUUAACAGGAAACACCUAAAGGAUGGCAUCAAGAUAAAUAUGGAGGAUUGACCCUGAAAUCCUAUUUUCUUACAAAACCCAUCAUAGCUACGUGGUUCACAUACCUUCAGUCCCUUGGAUUUGUGGGUUAUUAGCUGCAAACUGAACCUAAAAUGGUGGAUUGACUAAACUGAAAGUGGCUGCUGUAGCUGGCACGAUAUGUUUACUGGCUAGAUAGACAUGGCUGACAUAUAGACCUCCUACCUCUAGAAGGCAACCUUUGCUUCUAAUCCACCCUUUUAAUGGAGAAAGUUACAGUGUAGAGGAAUGUAUAAUCAUAAGAUCAGCCUCAGCUACCAAUUAAUGUGUAAUCUAUUGUCCUUGCCACCCAAAAUGGCUUGCAAAUUAAUAGGAGCCUCUUAGCUAUGGAAUUAGCUAGAAAAUAGGGAUUCAGGAUCAAUCUUCCAUUUCUUCAUGUUCUGCAUCAGCUAUCCGACAUCCUGAGUGUGAAUAUCAUCCAUAUGUCAGUUUUUACCCUCUCUCCUCUUGCGGGUCACUCCACUUAGUCAUUUCCAGACUAAUCUAAUUGUGCUGUACUUGCCAAGGAAGCAGCCACUCCUUGAUAGUUGGAGAUGAUUUAGAUUUAGACAUUUGUGAGGUUAGUUGUCAUUUAUAUUUAUUAUGAACGUUUAAGUAUAUCUUCUUUUUUUCUAGAUAUUCCUGCACCAUGUUUUUUAUCAUAAUAUAGUUCCAUGUUAUCUAUUAGUUUGGUGAUGUGUCUAUAUUGAUGAAGGUGUCAUAUAUGAAAAAUUCUAUUUAUAUGUUUAAUUCAUAGACGAGUUUUGACUAUAACAAACAAAUAUUUUAUUGCUACAGCAGCUGAUUUACUGGGUUAAUUUCUUUCUUGUGUUUUAAUGUAUAUUAAAUCUUUUACAUUCACUUCAAAUGUUAUAAUUUCAUAUUUAUUUGAUUUAAAGAAGAGAAAGAUAUGAGCAUAAUGGGCCGAGUAUUAGUGACCGUCAUGGCAGGAGUCUCCUUGAAUGAGAGACAAAGUGAGGGUACUCUCCAAUCAUUUUGCGAGGUAAGUUUGGGGUCACAGGUUCACCGGACAAGCAUAGCCG